AGUGAACGCUGGCGGUAGGCCUAACACAUGCAAGUCGAACGGCAGCACAGUAAGAGCUUGCUCUUACGGGUGGCGAGUGGCGGACGGGUGAGGAAUACAUCGGAAUCUACUUUUUAGUGGGGGAUAACGUAGGGAAACUUACGCUACUACCGCAUACGAACUACGGGUGAAAGCAGGGGAUCUUCGGACCUUGCGCGAUUGAAUGAGCCGAUGUCGGAUUAGCUAGUUGGCGGGGUAAAGGCCCACCAAGGCGACGUUCCGUAGCUGGUCUGAGAGGAUGGUGGCCCCCACUGGACCUGAGCCACGGUCCAGCCUCCUACGGGAGGCAGCGGUGGGGAUUUUUGGACAAUGGGCGCAGGCCUGUUCCACCCAUACCGCGUGGGUGAAGAAGCCCCUCGGGUUGUAAAGCCCUUUUGUUGGGAAAGAAAGGCAGCAGGUUAAUACCCCGCUGUUCUGACGGUACCCAAAGAAUAGGCACCGGCUAACUUCUU
rnacentral:rRNA from 1 species